rnacentral:rRNA from 1 species
GAUCCUGGCUUAGGAGUGAACGCUGGCGGCGUGCCUAACACAUGCAAGUCGAGCGAUUCUCUUCGGAGAAGAGCGGCGGACGGGUGAGUAACGCGUGGGUAACCUGCCUCAUACACAUGGAUAACAUACCGAAAGGUAUGCUAAUACAGGAUAAUAUAAGAGAUUCACAUGGAUUUCUUAUCAAAGCUCCGGCGGUAUGAGAUGGACCCGCGUCUGAUUAGCUAGUUGGUAAGGUAACGGCUUACCAAGGCGACGAUCAGUAGCCGACCUGAGAGGGUGAUCGGCCACAUUGGAACUGAGACACGGUCCAAACUCCUACGGGAGGCAGCAGUGGGGAAUAUUGCACAAUGGGCGAAAGCCUGAUGCAGCAACGCCGCGUGAGUGAUGAAGGCCUUCGGGUCGUAAAACUCUGUCCUCAAGGAAGAUAAUGACGGUACUUGAGGAGGAAGCCCCGGCUAACUACGUGCCAGCAGCCGC